GGACUACCAGGGUAUCUAAUCCCGUUCGCUCCCCUGGCUUUCGCGUCUCAGCGUCAGUAAGGGUCCAGGAGCUCGCUUUCGCCACGGGCGUUCCUUCCGAUCUCAACGCAUUUCACCGCUCCACCGGAAGUUCCAGCUCCCCCUACCCCCCUCCAGGCCGGCCGUAUCGGCGCCCGUUCCCCGGUUGAGCCGGGGGAUUUCAGCGACCGACGUGCCGACCCGCCUACACGCGCUUUAAGCCCAGUGAUUCCGAAUAACGUUCGCACGGUUCGUCUUACCGCGGCUGCUGGCAC
rnacentral:rRNA from 1 species